rnacentral:rRNA from 1 species
AUGAACGCUGGCGGCGUGCCUAAUACAUGCAAGUCGAGCGAACAGACGAGGAGCUUGCUCCUCUGACGUUAGCGGCGGACGGGUGAGUAACACGUGGAUAACCUACCUAUAAGACUGGGAUAACUUCGGGAAACCGGAGCUAAUACCGGAUAAUAUAUUGAACCGCAUGGUUCAAUAGUGAAAGACGGUUUUGCUGUCACUUAUAGAUGGAUCCGCGCCGCAUUAGCUAGUUGGUAAGGUAACGGCUUACCAAGGCAACGAUGCGUAGCCGACCUGAGAGGGUGAUCGGCCACACUGGAACUGAGACACGGUCCAGACUCCUACGGGAGGCAGCAGUAGGGAAUCUUCCGCAAUGGGCGAAAGCCUGACGGAGCAACGCCGCGUGAGUGAUGAAGGUCUUCGGAUCGUAAAACUCUGUUAUUAGGGAAGAACAAAUGUGUAAGUAACUAUGCACGUCUUGACGGUACUUAAUCAGAAAGCCACGGCUAACUACGUG